CUUCCGGUUUGCCACACAACGCAGAGGCGUUCUCCUUUCUCUACGUGGUCCCUGAAACCCGAAGGGAAUUCAUUCUUCUUAGAGAUGCGAGGCCUGCUUGGAGAACCGAAGAUCUGAGUUCUCCAUGAAAGAUAAACACUGGAUUCCAAAGCCAGAACUGCUUCUAGAACAUCAAAGCAUUUCCAUGAAGUCUGAAGAGGUCUGUUUACAGAAUCUGAUGGCAGAUUCUGUAUGUGUAUGCAUCUGGAGAGAACCAAGAACACCCGAGAUGUUCUGGAAGAACAGCGACGUGGGAAGCAUUGCCAUUAACAAUGUAUAAGACAGCCUGCAAAGCCACAGGGCCCUGCCAGCGGACACUGUGCAAACAGGUGAGGACACAGACCUACUCAGGAGGAAGGCCAUGUGUGGACACCAGAGGAAGGUGGCAUCGACCAGGCACAGACAGAUGACUCCACAGCCUUGAUUCUGAGGAUCACAGCCGUCUCCUCACUUGCUCAGGAGACCGGACAGCAUGAAUUCUGGGGACACCCAGCCGGGUCACGACGCCCCAGUGGCCUUGCUGGAGAGCACCUGAACCCUGAACCGUGCGCUACUGCUGACAGGGCCCUCAGCUCCCUUCCUUGGCAGGCAGGCGCCUUGGAAGGAAAUCCUGUCUUCUCCUGGGUCCGCAGACACCCGUGACUAGAACAGGACGAGAAGGCUGGCAUCUCUGCCUUCAUCCUGUGGCUCUCCUCCUGACUGUCCUAUCUCUGAGCAGAUCCCACCUGCCCUGCACAUAGACAGGUUGGUCCAGAACUAUAAUUCAGGGUUAAUCUGACCAAGAUGUACCUAGUCUCUCAUCCCCUUCAAGGUAAAGUCAUCUACUGGCCACGCUGACCAGAAACACCGGCCCGUCAAAGGACUGAGGAAAGGUGGCCCUGUGCUCCCAGAGACCUCUGUCCGCCUGGGCCCAGAGGAGCGGGGGUGUGCCUUUCUCCUUCCUCACUCCUUCCCUGCAUCCAGAGGCAUCUCUCUGUCACAGAGAAGCUGGCUGUCCACAAAGCUUCCUUUUUUCCUUUCUUCCACUGCUAAAAACACGUUUCUGUAUCAUCACAAGCACUCACAUCUGGGAGAGAUCCCCACAUGCACCACACCUGGCUUCCAGGACACCUUCAUCUUGGACUUUGUGACUUACACAGCUGUGACAAGUGGAUUUCUGUUGAUAACUGCAAGUGGGCUUGGGUGCUUACCCCUAAAAACCAAACACAGCAGAACACCACAGGCACCAAGAAGAAACUACAUCUACCUGUAGGUGGUAACACAGAGUCUCUAAAACACACUGGGCAAAAGCAGCAAGACAAAUAGACACCGUUUGGUGACUGAAUUUAUGUAAAAUUGCAAAAGAAAUAAAGCUGUUUGGAAAUAUA